UGAGGGAUUUUGCGCAAUGGAGGAAACUCUGACGCAGCGACGCCGCGUGCGGGACGAAGCCUUUCGGGGUGUAAACCGCUGUCAGUGGGGAAGAGAAUGGACGGUACCCACUGAGGAAGCCUCGGCUAACUACGUGCCAGCAGCCGCGGUAAGACGUAGGGGGCGAGCGUUGUCCGGAAUCACUGGGCGUAAAGAGCUCGUAGGCGGGGCUGCGCGUCUUGGAGUAAAUCCAUCUGCUCAACGGAUGGGUCGUCUGAGAUACGGCAGCUCUUGAGGACAGAAGAGGAAAGCAGAAUUCCGGGUGUAGCGGUGAAAUGCGUAGAUAUCCGGAGGAAUACCAGUGGCGAAGGCGGCUUUCUGGUCUGAUUCUGACGCUGAGGAGCGAAAGCCAGGGGAGCGAACGG
rnacentral:rRNA from 1 species